AUUGAACGCUGGCGGCAGGCCUAACACUUGCAAGUCGAGCGGUUGACGGGAGCUUGCUCCCUGAUUCAGCGGCGGACGGGUGAGUAAUGCCUAGGAAUCUGCCUAUUAGGGGGGACAAAGUUUCGAAAGGAACGCUAAUACCGCAUACGUCCUAAGGGGGAAAGCAGGGGACCUUCGGGCCGUGCGCUAAUAGACGAGCCUAGGUCGGAUUAGCUUGUUGGUGAGGUAAAGGCUCACCAAGGCGACGAUCCGUAACUGGUCUGAGAGGAUGAUCAGUCACACUGGAACUGAGACACGGUCCAGACUCCUACGGGAGGCAGCAGUGGGGAAUAUUGGACAAUGGGCGAAAGCCUGAUCCAGCCAUGCCGCGCGUGUGAAGAAGGUCUUCGGAUUGUAAAGCACUUUAAGUUGGGAGGAAGGGUUGUAGAUUAAUACUCUGCAAUUUUGACGUUACCGACAGAAUAAGCACCGGCUAACUCUGUGCCAGCAGCCGCCGUAAUAC
rnacentral:rRNA from 1 species